AUAAAUUUAUGGUGUAGUUUUCUUAUAUGUUUCUUGCUGAUUACAAAUUAGGUAUUUUUAUAUGCAGUAAAUUGAUUGAACUUUGAAAAGAUUUUCUUUAUGAUUAUCUUCAUAAUUAUUUAAAAUGUUAGUAUUGUAGAUGUUGGGAUUAAAUUUGAUGAAAGUUCUAGACACUAUUUGUAGAGUUAAUAUGAUAGUAAUGUAAAUUUAUUAUUUAAUACUUUACUUUGUUGCGUUACAUGCUUUGUAGCUAGUGGCUACAACCAUGAAAAUUGUGUAAAAACUUAAUAUAUCCUCAAUUUAUCUUGAGACUGAAUAUUGCAAGAUCCAUCAAGAUGCUGCAAGAUCUAUCAACAUAGUCUUUUUGUGUUUUCUCUUGCUCUCACCCUACGGUCAUCUGUUCUCAAAUCUGACUUUGACAUUAUUUAUUAAAUCCACAUUUUGGUGCUAGUAAUAUUUAGUUGAAAUAAUGUACUAAAAAAGGACCAGUUGCCAUGAAGGCACAACAUUGAAUAUUUCAUUCUUGUUUUAUAAUAGGAAUUUCUAACAUGAUUGAAUAUGCUAUUCUUAUAAUGUAGUUUCAUGGAGGAAGCUAGACUAUAAUAAAUAUGAAUAAAUAAAUAUGGGGGUCUGGAGAGGACGAAGGAGAAAAUUCUGAUGAUGAUCUUUCAGCAAGCUACACAAUUAGUGGGGGUGAACAUACUAGAGCCUCACCUAUUGAAAUAGGAAAUCUUUGUGUAACUAGCUUAGGUAAUCAACCCUUAGAAUGUUCAACAUUGAAAUCCUUUUAUAUACUCAUACAACUUGCAUACAUCAUGCAAGCUAGUUGGUUGUAGUACAAAUGCAUCUGAAACUAUGCUUUUCAAAAUGAAAUUGUAGUUAUAAAUCUGUAUUGCAAUCAAUUUUCAGGAAGAAUAAUUUAUGAUUCGAAUUAUUUUCAUAGCAAGAAGCACAUUUGGCCUGAAGGAUAUACAUCAUUUCGGAAGUUCACAUCAUUUAAAGAUCCUAGUCUAGUCAUGCUGUAUAAGAUGGAAAUUUUGAGGAACCCUAAAAUAAAAACUCGGCCUUCGUUUAGAGUCACUACAGAAGAUGGGGAGCAGUUAAGCUGCUUCAAUUGUGUUGGUUGAAAUCGGAGCAUGCUAUUUUCUUUGAUGGGGUUCAUUUCCUUUUGUUCUGUGGAAGUUGUGGCUGGUGUUGUAGUUGGGGAGGAGCACUUUUUUAAUUUGGUUGUUAUUGAAGGUUGGAGCAAAUGUCUUUUGUCGCUUGAAGCACAUGUCUUUUGUCGUUUGGAGCACAUGCCUUUUGAUGUUUUUUUUGUGGAGAAAACUUAUUAUUGAAGGUUGUAUAUAUUUUGGAGAUUGAAGAAAAUAUUGUGUUUGUGUUAUAGUGUGGAGUUAAAUGUUAUAUGCUAUGAAUAUUUUGAAAUGAAAUACAAAAUUGUAUGUGUUGAUUUGGUAAUCCAA